rnacentral:rRNA from 1 species
CCUACGGGUGGCAGCAGUGGGGAAUAUUGCACAAUGGGGGAAACCCUGAUGCAGCGACGCCGCGUGAGUGAAGAAGUAUUUCGGUAUGUAAAGCUCUAUCAGCAGGGAAGAAAAUGACGGUACCUGAGUAAGAAGCCCCGGCUAACUACGUGCCAGCAGCCGCGGUAAUACGUAGGGGGCAAGCGUUAUCCGGAUUUACUGGGUGUAAAGGGAGCGUAGACGGCAGCGCAAGUCUGGAGUGAAAUCCGAUGGCUGAACCAUGGAACUGCUUUGGAAACUGUGCAGCUGGAGUGCAGGAGAGGUAAGCGGAAUUCCUAGUGUAGCGGUGAAAUGCGUAGAUAUUAGGAGGAACACCAGUGGCGAAGGCGGCUUACUGGACUGUAACUGACGUUGAGGCUCGAAAGCGUGGGGAGCAAACAGGAUUAGAUACCCCUGUAGUC